ACCCAAGUAGCUCAGUUGGAAGAGCGUUAGACUAUAGAUCGAAAGGUCCCUGGUUAGAUCCCGGGAUUCGGCG
rnacentral:tRNA from 1 species